rnacentral:rRNA from 1 species
CCUACGGGGGGCUGCAGUGAGGAAUAUUGGUCAAUGGACGCAAGUCUGAACCAGCCAUGCCGCGUGCAGGAAGACGGCUCUACGAGUUGUAAACUGCUGUUAUACGAGGGUAAACUCAGAUACGCGUACCUCUCUGUAAGUAUCGUACGAAUACGGAUCGACUAACUCCGUGCCAGCAGCCGCGGUAAUACGGAGGAUUCAAGCGUUAUCCGGAUUUAUUGGGUUUAAAGGGUGCGUAGGCGGUCGGGUAAGUGAGUGGUGAAAUCCCGGGGCUCAACUUGGGAAUUGCCUCUGAUACUGUGAGGCUAGAGGGAAGUUGCGGUAGGCGGAAUGUAUGGUGUAGCGGUGAAAUGCUUAGAGAUC